rnacentral:rRNA from 2 species
CUUUUACAAUGAAGAGUUUGAUCCUGGCUCAGGAUGAACGCUAGCUACAGGCUUAACACAUGCAAGUCGAGGGGCAGCAUUUUUCUAGCAAUAGAAGAGAUGGCGACCGGCGCACGGGUGAGUAACACGUAUCCAACCUACCGAUAACUCCGGAAUAGCCUUUCGAAAGAAAGAUUAAUACCGGAUAGUAUACGAAUAUCGCAUGAUAUUUUUAUUAAAGAAUUUCGGUUAUCGAUGGGGAUGCGUUCCAUUAGUUUGUUGGCGGGGUAACGGCCCACCAAGACUACGAUGGAUAGGGGUUCUGAGAGGAAGGUCCCCCACAUUGGAACUGAGACACGGUCCAAACUCCUACGGGAGGCAGCAGUGAGGAAUAUUGGUCAAUGGGCGCAGGCCUGAACCAGCCAAGUAGCGUGAAGGAUGAAGGCUCUAUGGGUCGUAAACUUCUUUUAUAUGGGAAUAAAGUUUUCCACGUGUGGAAUUUUGUAUGUACCAUAUGAAUAAGGAUCGGCUAACUCCGUGCCAGCAGCCGCGGUAAUACGGAGGAUCCGAGCGUUAUCCGGAUUUAUUGGGUUUAAAGGGAGCGUAGGUGGAUUGUUAAGUCAGUUGUGAAAGUUUGCGGCUCAACCGUAAAAUUGCAGUUGAAACUGGCAGUCUUGAGUACAGUAGAGGUGGGCGGAAUUCGUGGUGUAGCGGUGAAAUGCUUAGAUAUCACGAAGAACUCCGAUUGCGAAGGCAGCUCACUAGACUGUAACUGACACUGAUGCUCGAAAGUGUGGGUAUCAAACAGGAUUAGAUACCCUGGUAGUCCACACAGUAAACGAUGAAUACUCGCUGUUUGCGAUAUACAGUAAGCGGCCAAGCGAAAGCAUUAAGUAUUCCACCUGGGGAGUACGCCGGCAACGGUGAAACUCAAAGGAAUUGACGGGGGCCCGCACAAGCGGAGGAACAUGUGGUUUAAUUCGAUGAUACGCGAGGAACCUUACCCGGGCUUAAAUUGCAAAUGAAUAAUCAAGAAAUUGGUUAGCCGUAAGGCAUUUGUGAAGGUGCUGCAUGGUUGUCGUCAGCUCGUGCCGUGAGGUGUCGGCUUAAGUGCCAUAACGAGCGCAACCCUUAUCUUUAGUUACUAACAGGUCAUGCUGAGGACUCUAGAGAGACUGCCGUCGUAAGAUGUGAGGAAGGUGGGGAUGACGUCAAAUCAGCACGGCCCUUACGUCCGGGGCUACACACGUGUUACAAUGGGGGGUACAGAAGGCAGCUACACGGCGACGUGAUGCUAAUCCCAAAAACCUCUCUCAGUUCGGAUCGAAGUCUGCAACCCGACUUCGUGAAGCUGGAUUCGCUAGUAAUCGCGCAUCAGCCAUGGCGCGGUGAAUACGUUCCCGGGCCUUGUACACACCGCCCGUCAAGCCAUGAAAGCCGGGGGUACCUGAAGUACGUAACCGCAAGGAGCGUCCUAGGGUAAAACUGGUAAUUGGGGCUAAGUCGUAACAAGGUAGCCGUACCGGAAGGUGCGGCUGGAACACCUCCUUUCUGGA